rnacentral:rRNA from 1 species
AAUACCUAGGAAUCUGCCUGGUAGUGGGGGACAACGUUUCGAAAGGAACGCUAAUACCGCAUACGCCCUACGGGGGAAAGCAGGGGACCUUCGGGCCUUGCGCUAUCAGAUGAGCCUAGGUCGGAUUAGCUAGUUGGUGAGGUAAUGGCUCACCAAGGCGACGAUCCGUAACUGGUCUGAGAGGAUGAUCAGUCACACUGGAACUGAGACACGGUCCAGACUCCUACGGGAGGCAGCAGUGGGGAAUAUUGGACAAUGGGCGAAAGCCUGAUCCAGCCAUGCCGCGUGUGUGAAGAAGGUCUUCGGAUUGUAAAGCACUUUAAGUUGGGAGGAAGGGUACUUACCUAAUACGUGAGUAUUUUGACGUUACCGACAGAAUAAGCACCGGCUAACUCUGUGCCAGCAGCCGCGGUAAUACAGAGGGUGCAAGCGUUAAUCGGAAUUACUGGGCGUAAAGCGCGCGUAGGUGGUUCGUUAAGUUGGAUGUGAAAUCCCCGGGCUCAACCUGGGAACUGCAUCCAAAACUGGCGAGCUAGAGUAGGGCAGAGGGUGGUGGAAUUUCCUGUGUAGCGGUGAAAUGCGUAGAUAUAGGAAGGAACACCAGUGGCGAA